CCUCACGAAAAAUCAGCAGACCGCGUGUUGCCAGUCUGUCCGUUGACGGGUAACGCGUUAAAUCAAAUAACGAGACUAAGUAUGUAGGGCUGCCUGUGGAAGGUUUGCGGACGCGGGUUCAAUUCCCGCCGCCUCCACCA
rnacentral:tmRNA from 1 species